rnacentral:rRNA from 1 species
CUAGGAAUCUGCCUGGUAGUGGGGGACAACGUUUCGAAAGGAACGCUAAUACCGCAUACGUCCUACGGGAGAAAGCAGGGGACCUUCGGGCCUUGCGCUAUCAGAUGAGCCUAGGUCGGAUUAGCUAGUUGGUGGGGUAAUGGCUCACCAAGGCGACGAUCCGUAACUGGUCUGAGAGGAUGAUCAGUCACACUGGAACUGAGACACGGUCCAGACUCCUACGGGAGGCAGCAGUGGGGAAUAUUGGACAAUGGGCGAAAGCCUGAUCCAGCCAUGCCGCGUGUGUGAAGAAGGUCUUCGGAUUGUAAAGCACUUUAAGUUGGGAGGAAGGGCAGUAAGUUAAUACCUUGCUGUUUUGACGUUACCGACAGAAUAAGCACCGGCUAACUCUGUGCCAGCAGCCGCGGUAAUACAGAGGGUGCAAGCGUUAAUCGGAAUUACUGGGCGUAAAGCGCGCGUAGGUGGUUUGUUAAGUUGGAUGUGAAAGCCCCGGGCUCAACCUGGGAACUGCAUCCAAAACUGGCAAGCUAGAGUACGGUAGAGGGUGGUGGAAUUUCCUGUGUAGCGGUGAAAUGCGUAGAUAUAGGAAGGAACACCAGUGGCGA